AGAGUUUGAUCCUGGCUCAGGACGAACGCUAGCGGCGCGCCUAACACAUGCAAGUCGAACGUGAACGGUUGGUUUCGGCCGGCCUAUUAGCGUGGCGGACGGGUGAGUAUCACGUAGGCAACCUGCCCUCGAGUGGGGGACAAGCCCGGGAAACCGGGUCUAAUACCGCAUGCGAUUCCGAUGACGCAUGUCAUUGGAAUCAAAGCCUUCGGGCGCUCGGGGAUGGGCCUGCGACCUAUUAGCUUGUUGGUGAGGUAACGGCUCACCAAGGCUGCGAUGGGUAGCUGGUCUGAGAGGAUGAUCAGCCACACUGGGACUGAGAUACGGCCCAGACUCCUACGGGAGGCAGCAGUGAGGAAUAUUGCGCAAUGGGCGAAAGCCUGACGCAGCGACGCCGCGUGAGCGACGAAGCCCUUCGGGGUGUAAAGCUCUGUCCAGAGGGAAGAAUGCCCGCUACGGCGGGAGAGACGGUACCUCUGAAGAAAGCUCCGGCUAACUCCGUGCCAGCAGCCGCGGUAAUACGGGGGGAGCAAGCGUUGUCCGGAUUCACUGGGCGUAAAGGGCGUGUAGGCGGAACGGUCAGUCGGUGGUGAAAGGUGCAGGCUCAACCUGCAGAUUGCCCUCGAUACUGCCGUUCUUGAGUGCAGGAGAGGGAAGUGGAAUUCCCGGUGUAGCGGUGGAAUGCGCAGAUAUCGGGAGGAACACCCGUAGCGAAGGCGGCUUCCUGGCCUGACACUGACGCUGAGGCGCGAAAGCGUAGGGAGCAAACAGGAUUAGAUACCCUGGUAGUCUACGCCGUAAACGAUGGGCACUAGGUGUCGGGGGAUUUCGACCCCUCCGGUGCCGCAGUUAACGCAUUAAGUGCCCCGCCUGGGGAGUACGAUCGCAAGGUUGAAACUCAAAGGAAUUGACGGGGGCCCGCACAAGCGGUGGAGCAUGUGGUUUAAUUCGAUGCAACGCGAAGAACCUUACCUGGCCUGGAAGUGCAGCUGCACAUCCGGUGAAAGCCGGACUCCUUCGAGGGUGCUGCAGAGGUGCUGCAUGGCUGUCGUCAGCUCGUGUCGUGAGAUGUUGGGUUAAGUCCCGCAACGAGCGCAACCCUUACCGUUAGUUGCCAUCAGGCCCUUCGGGGUGCUGGGAACUCUAACGGGACUGCCCCGGUUAACGGGGAGGAAGGUGGGGAUGACGUCAAGUCCUCAUGGCCCUUACGGCCAGGGCUACACACGUGCUACAAUGGGCGGUACAGAGGGUUGCGAUGCCGCGAGGUGGAGCUAAUCCCAAAAAACCGCCCCCAGUUCGGAUUGCAGUCUGCAACUCGACUGCAUGAAGUUGGAAUCGCUAGUAAUCGCUGAUCAGCAGGCAGCGGUGAAUACGUUCCCGGGCCUUGUACACACCGCCCGUCACACCAUGGGAGCCGGUAGCACCCGAAGUCGCCGUGCCAACCGCAAGGAGGCAGGCGCCGAAGGUGAGAUCGGUGACUGGGGUGAAGUCGUAACAAGGUAGCCGUACCGGAAGGUGCGGCUG
rnacentral:rRNA from 1 species